GUGUACUUUGCUGCCUGUGUGAAAUGGAGCGUGUGCUGUAAGAGAGCUGCCCAGAAGCCUCUGCCAGCACUCAUCAGCCCCGUGCCACCAGGAGCCUGAAGCAAUGAAACAAAAAUCUCCUCACCAGGCUGAAGACUACAAAAUCUGUGACAAAGUAAUCCUGCUAUGGUGUGUGCAGAGAAGCAGAACCUCAGGGGGACUCUGAGGAGCUGCAGCUCCUCUGGGGCCAUGAGAAGAGUGUGCGCUGCCUGGUGCACACGUGGCUCACCACAGCCUCGGGCUGCUCCUUCACCAGGGCCAUGAGAGCACAGUGACAGCCCAGGGGAAGUGGUGGCCCCUUCAACAGCAGCUUGAAGAUGCUCACUGGAAGAGAGGAGCUUUCAUGUUCCCAGGAUCAAGAACUGAACUCAUUACCAGGGCAUAAAGAUGCUUCAGGCCAGACCACACAACUCCUGCCACUUCAAAAUCAUUCCUGACUGUUCCUACCGGUUUCCUCUUGGAGAACAUACCAUCCAUGUCCCUUACUUCCUUCAUUUUGAAGAAAGCUGCCUGGUUGGAACACAAGUUGAGAGCCACUGAAAGGAAGGAUAGUUAUGCAGAGAGAAAAUUAACAUAGACUGAUGAUAAACACUGGUUGUCUUCUUUUCACUGAAUAGAGGUUAACAUUUUCAGCCUGUAAGAUAUGUUUCAAGACUUGAUUAUUUGUUCCAGUUACUUUAUUGUGUCCUGUAUUUUUUUUUUUUUGGGGGAGGAAUAUAGCCUGCCAAUUGCUGUUGCAACCAGCUUGCCAUAAUUUACACUUCUCUUUUGGGUACUAGAGACAGUGUUUCAUGAAAGAAGCAUUUUCUAAAUUACAGAAAUUACCUUAAUGGUUAUUAUGCUUUACUCAAGUUAAAUUCUCUCUCCCAAAAUACAGAGUUUACUUAACAUAACAUAAUUAAUGUUUUGGGCAUGCCAAAUGCAUAUAUAUACACUAUAUAGCUGAGUGUAAAAAUCCAGGAAACGCUCCUUAUAUGACUUCACCAAGCCAUUCAUAUAUCACACAAUAAUAAGGAUGAUAAAUAACUGAAUAUAGAAUUUACAUCACAGAAGAUUUUUUUUUAUAAAACAAGUUUCUUUAGUCUCUUAAGUCACAAAAGUGAUUCUUAAAUUUUCUGCUUGCUGUACAUCUGAUGUAAAACUGGUUGCUUCAUUCCUAUACUAAUAGCUGAAAUCUAUACCUGAAAUGAGAAUAUUUAAAAAAAAAUGCAGAAGUCAACAAGGGCAAUCAAUUAUAUUUACUUAGGUUGUUUUAGACUUCCCUCUGACAAUUCAACCAUUAAAUCAGUUAAUGGAAUGAAAUUAAUUGUAUCAGAAAAUCUGCCCUGUGCUUUGUAUGUUACCUUAGCUUUUAGUGUGGGCUAUGCAAGUUACCAAGAAUUAGCUGCCAGCUUUCACUGUUCAUCCUUCAGAGUUAGUUUAGUGAAAUUUGUAGAGUUCUCCUCUCUGGGCUCCCAGUCAGCUAUCCUGCCCUAUACAUGCUUUUUUUCCAAGGCACAAAACAUGAGAUCAUGCCAGAAGGAAAGCUGCCUGUGCAACACAAUAUGAGGAGAGCCAAAUAUUUCUGCAGCACUCUAGAAGCUGCACAUGCAGUAUGUGAUGCAUGGACAUGGGUGGAUUAGGGAUGUGGUACUUAGUGGAACAUAAAUGUUCUGGUUUAUGCCUGGUCAGCAUCUACACUCCCUACACACCCAACAGCCUGUGCUCUGAUCUAAUAGUUGCAGCACACUGGAAGUAAAAACAGCAAUUGUACAAGAAAAAAGAUGAAGCCAGAGAGACUGAACAGUGAAUAGGAAUUUCUGACAGUCAGUACUGGAUGUGUGUGACAGGGAAAGAGAGCACGAGAAAGUCAGAGCCUCUCAGAGUCUGAAUGUACGAGCCCAGUUUUUGAAAGAGGCAUAGCUAAUGCACUGCACCCAUGCACCAACCCUGCUCUUCCUGUAGGAACUAAUUCUGUCUGCUGUAAUAAAAAGAGAAAAUAAAUAUUUUGCUGUCCUUAA